rnacentral:rRNA from 1 species
ACGAACGCUGGCGGCGUGCCUAAUCCAUGCAAGUCGAACGCUUCUUUCCUCCCGAGUGCUUGCACUCAAUUGGAAAGAGGAGUGGCGGACGGGUGAGUAACACGUGGGUAACCUACCCAUCAGAGGGGGAUAACACUUGGAAACAGGUGCUAAUACCGCAUAACAGUUUAUGCCGCAUGGCAUAAGAGUGAAGGGCGCUUUCGGGUGUCGCUGAUGGAUGGACCCGCGGUGCAUUAGCUAGUUGGUGAGGUAACGGCUCACCAAGGCCACGAUGCAUAGCCGACCUGAGAGGGUGAUCGGCCACACUGGGACUGAGACACGGCCCAGACUCCUACGGGAGGCAGCAGUAGGGAAUCUUCGGCAAAGGACGAAAGUCUGACCGAGCAACGCCGCGUGAGUGAAGAAGGUUUUCGGAUCGUAAAACUCUGUUGUUAGAGAAGAACAAGGACGUCAGUAACUGAACGUCCCCUGACGGUAUCUAACCAGAAAGCCACGGCUAACUACGUG